UCUGGGACAAGCCCUGGAAACGGGGUCUAAUACCGGAUACCACUCUCUUCCGCAUGGGAGAGGGUUGAAAGCUCCGGCGGUGAAGGAUGAGCCCGCGGCCUAUCAGCUUGUUGGUGGGGUGAUGGCCCACCAAGGCGACGACGGGUAGCCGGCCUGAGAGGGCGACCGGCCACACUGGGACUGAGACACGGCCCAGACUCCUACGGGAGGCAGCAGUGGGGAAUAUUGCACAAUGGGCGAAAGCCUGAUGCAGCGACGCCGCGUGAGGGAUGACGGCCUUCGGGUUGUAAACCUCUUUCAGCAGGGAAGAAGCGAAAGUGACGGUACCUGCAGAAGAAGCGCCGGCUAACUACGUGCCAGCAGCCGCGGUAAUACGUAGGGCGCAAGCGUUGUCCGGAAUUAUUGGGCGUAAAGAGCUCGUAGGCGGCUUGUCACGUCGGAUGUGAAAGCCCGGGGCUUAACCCCGGGUCUGCAUUCGAUACGGGCAGGCUAGAGUGUGGUAGGGGAGAUCGGAAUUCCUGGUGUAGCGGUGAAAUGCGCAGAUAUCAGGAGGAACACCGGUGGCGAAGGCGGAUCUCUGGGCCAUUACUGACGCUGAGGAGCGAAAGCGUGGGGAGCGAACAGGAUUAGAUACCCUGGUAGUCCACGCCGUAAACGUUGGGAACUAGGUGUUGGCGACAUUCCACGUCGUCGUGCCGCAGCUAACGCAUUAAGUUCCCCGCCUGG
rnacentral:rRNA from 1 species